AUUGAACGCUGGCGGCAGGCCUAACACAUGCAAGUCGAGCGGAGCGUCGGACGGGUGGGUAAGGCCUGGUAAGCUGCCUGUGAGUGGGGGAUAACUUCCGGGAAGGUGCGCUAAUACAGCAGACGUGCAGGUCAGUCUAGGGUGGAUUAGCUAGUUGGUGGGGUAAAGGCCUACCAAGGCGACGAUCCGUAUCUGGUCUGAGAGGAUGAUCAGUCACACUGGAACUGAGACACGGCCCAGACUCCUACGGGAGGCAGCAGUGGGGAAGAUUGGACAAUGGGCGAAAGCCUGACCCAGCCAUGCCGCGUGAGUGAAGAAGGUCUUCGGAUUGUAAAGCACUUUAAGUUGGGAGGCGUUACCAACAGAAUAAGCACCGGCUAACUUCGUGCCAGCAGCCGCGGUAAUUC
rnacentral:rRNA from 1 species